rnacentral:rRNA from 1 species
GAUGAACGCUAGCUACAGGCUUAACACAUGCAAGUCGAGGGGCAGCAUUUCAGUUUGCUUGCAAACUGGAGAUGGCGACUGGCGCACGGGUGAGUAACACGUAUCCAACCUGCCGAUAACUCGGGGAUAGCCUUUCGAAAGAAAGAUUAAUACCCGAUGGUAUAAUCAGACCGCAUGGUCUUGUUAUUAAAGAAUUUCGGUUAUCGAUGGGGAUGCGUUCCAUUAGGCAGUUGGUGAGGUAACGGCUCACCAAACCUUCGAUGGAUAGGGGUUCUGAGAGGAAGGUCCCCCACAUUGGAACUGAGACACGGUCCAAACUCCUACGGGAGGCAGCAGUGAGGAAUAUUGGUCAAUGGGCGCAGGCCUGAACCAGCCAAGUAGCGUGAAGGAUGACUGCCCUAUGGGUUGUAAACUUCUUUUAUAUGGGAAUAAAGUUUUCCACGUGUGGAAUUUUGUAUGUACCAUAUGAAUAAGGAUCGGCUAACUCCGUGCCAGCAGCCGCGGUAAUACGGAGGAUCCGAGCGUUAUCCGGAUUUAUUGGGUUUAAAGGGAGCGUAGGUGGACAGUUAAGUCAGUUGUGAAAGUUUGCGGCUCAACCGUAAAAUUGCAGUUGAUACUGGCUGUCUUGAGUACAGUAGAGGUGGGCGGAAUUCGUGGUGUAGCGGUGAAAUGCUUAGAUAUCACGAAGAACUCCGAUUGCGAAGGCAGCUCACUGGACUGCAACUGACACUGAUGCUCGAAAGUGUGGGUAUCAAACAGGAUUAGAUACCCUGGUAGUCCACACAGUAAACGAUGAAUACUCGCUGUUUGCGAUAUACAGUAAGCGGCCAAGCGAAAGCAUUAAGUAUUCCACCUGGGGAGUACGCCGGCAACGGUGAAACUCAAAGGAAUUGACGGGGGCCCGCACAAGCGGAGGAACAUGUGGUUUAAUUCGAUGAUACGCGAGGAACCUUACCCGGGCUUAAAUUGCAUUUGAAUAUAUUGGAAACAGUAUAGCCGUAAGGCAAAUGUGAAGGUGCUGCAUGGUUGUCGUCAGCUCGUGCCGUGAGGUGUCGGCUUAAGUGCCGUAACGAGCGCAACCCUUAUCUUUAGUUACUAACAGGUCAUGCUGAGGACUCUAGAGAGACUGCCGUCGUAAGAUGUGAGGAAGGUGGGGAUGACGUCAAAUCAGCACGGCCCUUACGUCCGGGGCUACACACGUGUUACAAUGGGGGGUACAGAAGGCAGCUACCUGGUGACAGGAUGCUAAUCCCAAAAGCCUCUCUCAGUUCGGAUCGAAGUCUGCAACCCGACUUCGUGAAGCUGGAUUCGCUAGUAAUCGCGCAUCAGCCAUGGCGCGGUGAAUACGUUCCCGGGCCU